rnacentral:rRNA from 1 species
ACUCAAAGGAAUUGACGGGGACCCGCACAAGCGGUGGAGCAUGUGGUUUAAUUCGAGGCUACGCGAAGAACCUUACCCAGGCUUGACAUGGUUAGGACAGCUGGUGAAAGCCAGUCUUCUCGCAAGAGACCUUUCCACAGGUGCUGCAUGGCUGUCGUCAGCUCGUGCUGUGAAGUGUUGGGUUAAGUCCCGCAACGAGCGCAACCUUUGUCCUUAGUUGCCAUCACGUCAUGGUGGGCACCCUAAGGAGACUGCCGGCGAUAAGCUGGAGGAAGGAGGAGAUGACGUCAAGUCAGUAUGGCCCUUAUGCCUGGGGCUACACACGUGCUACAAUGGCCGCUACAAAGAGCUGCAAACCCGCGAGGGGGAGCAAAUCUCAAAAAAACGGCCUCAGUUCGGAUUGGAGGCUGCAAUUCGCCUCCAUGAAGUCGGAAUCGCUAGUAACGGUAGGUCAGCUACACUACCGUGAAUACGUUCCCGGGUCUUGCACACACCGCCCGU